rnacentral:rRNA from 1 species
GAUGAACGCUAGCGGGAGGCCUAACACAUGCAAGCCGAGCGGUAGAGUUCCUUCGGGAACUUGAGAGCGGCGUACGGGUGCGUAACACGUGUGCAACCUACCUUUAUCUGGGGGAUAGCCUUUCGAAAGGAAGAUUAAUACCCCAUAAUAUAAUGAUUGGCAUCAAUUAUUAUUGAAAACUCCGGUGGAUAGAGAUGGGCACGCGCAAGAUUAGAUAGUUGGUGAGGUAACGGCUCACCAAGUCAAUGAUCUUUAGGGGUCCUGAGAGGGAGAUCCCCCACACUGGUACUGAGACACGGACCAGACUCCUACGGGAGGCAGCAGUGAGGAAUAUUGGACAAUGGGUGAAAGCCUGAUCCAGCCAUCCCGCGUGAAGGAUGACGGUCCUAUGGAUUGUAAACUUCUUUUGUACAGGGAUAAACCUACUCUCGUGAGGGUAGCUGAAGGUACCGUACGAAUAAGCACCGGCUAACUCCGUG